AGUUCAGUUCAGAGACAGACUGAGCAAAGUACAUCAAGUAUUUGUUUUUGUUCUUCGGAAAACGAACGUUUUUUCAGUGUUCUUGACGAAGCGAAAAAAAAGAACGUUUUGUUUAAUUAAUCUGUUUUGAUUUGUCGAGUCUUUUACAAACCCAAAUAAACGCUGAAUGCGGUUCUAUCCAACCGAUGACAACCACACAUGUUGUAAAAAAAAUAAUAAUUACACCGAUCCGAAGCGAAUUGCCGACAGAAGCACGUGCUCGAUAAAAUGUUCUCGAUUUUCAAUUAAUGGCUUUUUAUAUGCGAUUGCUCAAGAUUAAGCGCAGUUUGAUGUUCCAAGCAAAAAGGUUAAAGCCAUGAGUCGUGUGACGCUUUUUCUACCUCUACCUGGAUUAUACUUGUUGCUAUUGAUUUUUUUGUUCGUUACUGCCCCGAAUGGAAAAUACCGCUAUAUGUACACGACACAAACGCGUAUACAAUCGUUUCUAUGACGACAUUAUUUCAGUUUGCUCAUGUAAACAAAUGCCAAUCGAUAUUUCAAGCAAGCAUUGUAAAAAUAUCGAAACAACAAAUUGAAAAUAGACAAAAAACCACACAUUGUUUUGUAAACUUUUAAAGAAAAAAACAGACAACAUGGAGAGCGGUGAUGAAUUUGAGCUGAGCGACUACUCCGAAACAAUUGAAGAAGUGCCUGAAGUACCGGUGCUGAGUGCACAAGAAGAGAUUAAGCCUAAGCCAACGUACUCUGCAAAAGAACUGGAUGAAUUGGUUACGGUUUUAAAGCGAAUGGUGUUCCUUGAUGGAAUCAAAGAGGACGACUGGAAUGAUGAUUGUGAAGAGGUGAUUCAAACGUGGUUCCUCGACACAAACUACCCGAUACUAAUUGUAUUUUACUCGGCCAAACAACGACUCACCACCAGUUUAACAUAUCCAAUCGAACCAGUGCUUGAAAUUGUGUACUUUUUACGUGAACCAGACCACAUAUUCUCAUUGGACAAUUUUCAUGAUGACGUCACAUUCGGGAAAAUUGACGAUGACGUUACCGGAACGUGUUUGCUGCUUAUGGAAAAACUGUACACUCCGAUUUUUUUCCAUAAAACCGACUGGAGCGACACGAAUCGAGCACAGUUUUUAGCCGCAAUCCAUUCAUUUUUGUCGCACAUGACAUCGCUUCAUUACAAACUGUCGGGAUUAACGUACUUGUAUGUGCCGAGGGAAGGUUUGAUUGACGAUACAGAGAAAGCGAUCAAUGAUAAGGAACUAAUAAAACGUUUGGAGACAAUUGCCGAACAUUGGAUUACACAGCUAAGGAUUUGCUUUGGUGAUUCCGAACAAAUGGUCCCAUAUAAACUGCUGUGUCCACGCGAUGAAUAUGAAUUUUGGAUUUAUCGAUGUGAAGUACUCCUAGCUGUAAAAUAUCAAGUGAAUCAAAAGGAUUUUUUAAAAGUAUUUGCCGUUUUGCGUAAAUCUCAGUCAAUAUUCGUGCAGCCAAUCGAUCACCUCAUUGGACUGGUGGAAAAAGAAAUCGACCGUGCCCAGAACAAUGUUCGAUAUUUAAAAUUGCUCAUUGAGCCAUGCAGCGAAAUAACUACCGCUGAUUCACCGGCCGAUAUUCCAAUGAAAUUGCCCCGAAUAAUCAAUAUCAUCCGCUUUAUUUGGUUGAAUUCCGGAUAUUUCAACACGGCCGACUUGAUAACAAAACUCUUUCGUUAUGUUGGCAAUCAAGUUAUCCAUUUUUGUCGCAAGACCAUCAAUGUAUCGGCUGUUUUUAGCGGUGACGCCACGAAUCAGAUCAAAGUGGCAAAUAUGUCAAUCGACUGUUGCCUGUAUUACAAAGUGAUCUACGAGAAGAUUUCCAAACAGCCAGGAAAUGAAGAUUGGGUGCUGAGGCAUUGUAUGAUUUUCAAUCACAUUGACUCAUUUAUCAAUCGUUUGCAUGAUUUCAUUGAAAUCUGUGGCGGGAUCAUAAUAUUCUCUCGAAAAUUAGCAACGGAAAAUCAUCCACAAUUGGAAUUCGGCGGCGAUCGUGGCACUGAAUUCGAGGGAACCUGUGAACGUAUCGAAUCGACUUUCGAGAAAGGGAUUGUAAAAAUUAAAACCAAUUCACACUGUAUUUUGAACAUAAAUGAGAAAACCUGGUUGAAAAUCAUGCGAGAAUUUCGUGAAAUGACCUCGAAUUUGGAAGAAAUAAUUGAUAAUUUGAUCAUGAAUGUGUUUACUCGUGUCGAAAAUGUUGAAGAUGGAAUCUAUGCGUUGGCAUGUUUACAGAAAUUUUCAACGCGCGAUAAACUCCAUAAAUCAUUUGAACGAAAGGUAUCGACGGUGUGGAAUCUCUUUGCCGACGACUUAUCCAUUGUAAAUGAUCAAGUGAUUGCCGAUGGAAACGAGCAUCUAUCCUAUGUACCGACGAUUGCAGGUCAAACCAUUCAAUUUAAAGUGAAUCGCAUGCGUCUUAUCCGCCUAAGAUCGCUGUUCGAGCAAAACGAAUGGUUACCGGAAUCAAUUGACACGGCAAUGAUUUUAACCAAUUACAAAACGAUGAUUACUAAAAUGGAAAGAAACACUCAAACCUAUUACGACGGAUGGGUUCAAUCGCUUGGCGUGGAUAUUGCAUCAAAAUUAAAUCGCUUGCUAGUGAAACGUAGCCUAACACAUAAAGGCUUAUUCGAAUGUAAUGUCGACGAAAGUAUUUUCACAAUAUUUCGAGAGGCGCGUUUCUUUCAAAUGCUUGGCUUCGGUUUUCCGGUGCAUUUAAAUCAAUUUUUCAGCAGAGAACGAGCCAUUCGCCAGAUUUAUGACAGUAUUGUUGAGAUGAUUACAUCGUAUAAUCGGAUAUUGAUGUCUCUUUCGGAGACAGAACGAUUAUUGUUAAUGCCGUUGAUACAAAUAUCCGAUAAAUGCAUUGCACCCGGUGCCCUUCGGCUUAUUUGGGCCAACGAAGGCUUAGACGUUUACAUCAGCGAUUGUAACAAAAACAUUCGAGAUUUAAGCGAUUUCAUCCAUAUUUAUCGACAAACAAAUGCAAAGAUUGUUUCGACCUGUGAACGUCUUUGUCAAAUUGUUGCCGUUGAAAUUCCAAAAGGUAAACCACGCCAGUUGGACGAGAUUGAACAAUUAGUUCAGACUUAUUUGGAUAAACAAACGAAUAAUAUUGAAUUCGAAGUUGAUGCAGUGCGCAAAUUGAUUUUGAUUAUUCGAGACGAAAUGGAAGAUGUUGAAAGUAUUCAAGACCUUUGGACGGAUUACGUUUUUAAAUUCGAUAAAUUAAUUGAAGAAGCCUUAACGAUAAGUGCUCGCGAAUCGUUUCGAUCGAUUUUUUGCACAUUAAACGGUAAUGGCAUUUUGGGGCCAGAUCCAUUGAUUCAUGUUGUUCUCGAUGUUCAAGACGGAAUGAUAACGCAGAGCCCAUGUUCGACUGAUGUUCGUGCCAUGUUGCAAAGCAUUUAUGGAAAAUUGUCUCAAUCUCAACAGAAAAUACGUCGAUUGUUGAAAACCAUGAAACUCACACCAACCGAACCGCUGCCCGAGUACUUCGAAGUGAUAUCGAAUGACGCCGAGUGUUUGCGUUGGCAGUCAAAAAUACGCGAAGAGAUCGAACAGAAUGAGUGCAAAUUGAAAGAGUAUGAAGAGCAUUGGAUGCAAUUUGCGCACAUUUGGCAGUCGGAUAAGGCAGUCAUCAUAAAUGAAUUUGAAUCGCUUGCAACGGUAUCGGCAUUCGCUUAUGACAAACAUAUCCAAGAUUUUAUCACCUUGUCCAAUCAAGUAGCCCUACGAAAUGUAACGAAAAAAGUCAAUUUCACGCUUGUCGAUGCCACAAAACUGCGUAAAACAAUACUCGUCGAAAUCGAGGAGUGGAAGCGAUUGUAUUUGAUUUCGUUGAAGACCAAAACCCAAAAGAAGAUUAUCGAAUUUUUCACAUACACCAAUGAGAACGGACAAAAGGUAUCGAUCGCACCAAAGACGGUGGAGGAAUUACAAAAAUGCUGUGCGAUCUAUGAGCAAUUGAGAAGCGAGUUGGACGAUAGCAAGUGUAACUUGAACAGUUUAAGCGAUCAAUUUGAUGUGCUACUCAAAUAUGGUGUGCCGAUCGACGGUGAAUUCGAUGAAAUGAAACAAAACAUGUUCACGCAAUGGGAAGACUAUUUGAAAAAACUCAACGAUGCGGAUGAAGUGCUGAAUAAUGCAAAGGAUAGCUUUAAAUUGACAUUGGAGAGUACGAGAAAAACACCAGACUUUUUCCAAUGAACAAGCAAUCAACUAAUGAAUACCAUUCCGUACAUAGAGGAGACGGGAAAUUACAACGGCUCAACGAGAAAAAAAAAUGACGGAAAAAAAGAACGAAGAAACGAGUAACAAAUUGUAUCUCUUUUGUGAUUCUUAGACACAAGACACAAGUGAGACCCACCAAGGAGGUAUGGGCGAGUUGAGUGCGCACUGCGCAUCUCGUCAAAGGAACUUAGAAGAAUAUCACAUGCUGUUUAUCUAUUGGUAUUUUUAUAGUUUAAAAACACUCGUUUCUAUAGGGAAUUCAUUUCUGGAGCAUUUCAUUCAUCGCGCACGGCGAAACCGAAGAGUGGCCGAUUCGGUGUGCGUUGAAUAUCAAAAGCAGCGACUAAUGCGUGUCGUACAGAAUGAAUUGGAAUGGAAUGAAAGACGAAAUCAAUGAUCCAAGUGUUUGGACAAAUGUCUAAUAUCAUCGUCACAUAAACACUCAUACGUAUGAGUAUACGUAGGUACACGGCUUUUUAGGGGACGCUCCACUGUGAUUUCAUUCAUCAAUUUUUUUUUCAUUUUCGGUGUCAUCCACCUACGUUUAAACAACACGUCGUAUAGGGUUAAUGUUCUCACUGCGGCUUGUGUCUUCUCUUUUUACUUUUGUAUCAUUGUGCCGAACGCCGCCGUGCCGCAUCAAGUGAGAGAAGAAUUCAUUGCAAGCAAUUUGUAUCAGUUCCAAAGCAGACUUUUAAUGCCUUUUUUCCGUCGUGUGAACGAGAAAAAAAUAUUGUGUUUUUUUUUUAUUCAUUUUGGUGGAAAAAUGGAAGAGCGACAUUUCUUCUUUGUAGGAUAAACCGAAAAAGAGACAUUAUGCACAUAAAGAAAAAAACCAUUCCUCUGUUGAUAAUUUCGUGGCUAAGAAUGCUGUAUGAACAAAUGUUUUCAUUUCUUUGCUUUCAUUCUCGUUACGCAGCACAGUUCUUGCGCUUCGUUAGCGCAUGUUUGUUUUUCGGAAUGUAAAUUUUUCAACCUCUAAUUGAAAUUUUAUGGAAAUUGUCGACAAUUUAUCUUGAAAAAUGCACUGCGCUUCGAGAGACUGAGACUAAGAGAGACUAAGAGAGAGAGAGUGAAUGGGAAGCGAACGAAACAUUUUUUAUUCAUGGUUAUAUAUGAUACGCACGGAGAGACAAAGAACGAUAAAGAUGAGCGCAUUCAAGAGCAGCGUUACACUCUUUGUGGUGAGCAUUUAAGUGGUACAAUACAAAAUGGAGUGGUUAUAAAAAUGGAAAUCCAGACACUGAAUUCGGUUAUGUUCUAACUGCAGGCGACGAAUAAAUGUUCUGCGUCGCAUUUUAAUGAUGUUUUAAUCAUAGACUCAAUCGUUUUAUCCAUCGAAAGGGAAAAUUACUUAUUUUAUGUACUAUGAGAAACCAAAACAACCCAAAAAAGUUGAAAAAUAAAAAAAACCGAAAAACAGAAAGAUCCAAAGGACUUUCCGAAUGGUCAAAAAAUGUUGUAAUCUACCAAAAUGACCUUCCUUUUUCGGCCACCCACACACACGUCUUUGGUGUAAUUCGAUAAUAACUAUGAAUUAAGUAAUCAUAAGCGAAUUGUAUUUUUCCCUU